UACAGAGGUCCCAAGCGUUGUUCGGAUUCACUGGGCGUAAAGGGUGCGUAGGUGGUGAGGUAAGUCGGAUGUGAAAGCUCGGAGCUCAACUCCGAAAUGGCAUUGGAAACUACCUUGCUCGAGGGUUGGAGGGGGGACUGGAAUACUUGGUGUAGCAGUGAAAUGCGUAGAUAUCAAGUGGAACACCAGUGGCGAAGGCGAGUGCCCUGGACAAGCUCCUGACACUGAGGCACGAAAGCUAGGGGAGCAAACAGG
rnacentral:rRNA from 1 species